UGAUGUGUACGUACUUGACAUAUUCGAAACACGGCCUUUUUGAUGGAUGGCGCAUGUGUUUCGUUGUGAUUUUCUAUUUCUCUCUAAGACGAUGGUGCUUGAUUUUUGGACAAACGAGUCGUUGUUGGGUGUGGUUCUUUGUUGAAACUAGUCAUUGGAGCUGUUACAAAAAGUGUAUGGUGUAAAAUUGCCGAUGAAGGCGAUCAAAAAUAUAUGUUUUGGAUACGACCAUAUUUUUGGUGAAAUUUUUCCUACGAAUUGGUGAUGGCUGUGGUAAGAUUCUUAAGGAAGUGCUGAGAAUCUUUUGUAAUAGGGAAUAGGAAAAGCCGAAUUAUUUUCGGAUAAAUUUGCUCCAAACCGGACCAGUUAAAAAAAAGGAUUGCAUUGAAGGAGAGAUAAAACUGAGUGGAGAAAUUAAUUUUAACCCUGUGUUUGAAAGAAAACAGGGUUUUAGUACGGGACCUUUUAGUACGGGACGUUUUUUUUGAAGUCACACGCUUUCAACAGAGAGGCCAUUUGAGCGUCAUGGCAUGUCAGGGAAUGGACUGAUGGACCCGAUGGUAGAAUCAUAAGCCCCUACAUAAUCCGUUGUAGAUAUGGUAAUCUGUGAAGAAGAGUCAGAAUUAAGGUUUUUUUUUACACUUCAUUAUAUUAAUUAAGUUAUAUUCAUGCUUUGUUUGGACUUAAUUUUUUUGAUAGUAUUAAGAGGAUGAACUUUAUUAUUUGUACAUUUUUAAUUUAAACUUCAUUAAGAGGAUAGAUCAUCUAGGAUCAUUAGGAGUAUCUAUUGAUUUUUUUCUUUUGCCGAUGUUAGUAACUUAUUUCUCAUGAACAGAAACAUAUAACCUUAGGGUGUAAUAGGCAGUUAUUAAUUUUUCUUUUUUUUUACUGCUACCAUUUAUUUAAAGUAAACAAUAUCUAAAGUUUUUAAAAUACCUACAUCACAGUAUAAAUUGUAAUGGGACAAAGGCAGGGAUUUUAUUGGAAUCUAUCAUUUAAAACUUUUCAAAUAUUACCUACAGUGUGUUUCAUUCUGCGCUUGCGUACGCUAUGGGCCCAUUGCUAACCGCCGCGUUACCCGAAGUUCGUUCGCCUUAGUCUUUGUUACCAAGCCUUGUUGUUGUUUUUUUUUUUAAUUGAAUUUAAUGGUAUAGGGGAAAUGUAUAUAUUUAAAAUAGUGGAUUUAAAAUUUUAAUAGUUAUAUUGCUGUAAGAUAAUUUUGUCACUUUUAUUUUUUUUUUCAUUAUUUAGAUAAUUUGUCACUAAAAAAAAAAUACUUGUAGUCACUCUUUGAAUAUUUCAGAUAGUUAAUGUCACCUAAUCACUUGUAUAGUGUGUUUGUAAGAGACAACCUCGUAACCGACGUUAGUAUUACAUCAUAGGGUAAUAAAAGUUGUAUAUGGGUUA